CUUCUCUCAGCCCUCAGCCUAGCUCGUUAUUUUCUCACAGUGCUCUGAUUUUACAGGCCUCCUCCCUGGGAGCCCUACAAAAAAAGACCAAGCCCCAGGGCUCAGCUGACAGUCACUGCUCAGCUGUGUGAGGCCAUGACCCUGCGAGCUGUCUUGUUCCUGAUCGCCGUGCUGACCGCCUUAUUCUGCCAACACGUCUCCAAGCACAAGCCCACCUCCCAGCUGGGCGGGGUGAUGCGGAGGAUGAGGCUGACACACCACCCGGGGAGAUACCUGGACAACACGUGGAAGGUCCCUCUUCGUGCACAGGAGGGGGAAGGCUCAGGCCAGGUGAUCCAGCGUGUCCGUCGCUCCUGGCUGGCGGACUACCUGGGCGACGUGUGGUUUCACUUCUCGGAGAGCUUCCCCAUCGCCGUCCUGUACAUCUUCCCCGUCACCGUGCUGAUCCUGCUCUUCCUCUGCUGCUUCACGGUAGGUAUGGAGUGAGGCGACCUGGAGGACUCUGAGAGAAGCAGCGUGGCUACGCUGAGAGAGAUUCUGGUGCCUCGAUGGAGCUCAGCUCAGAGAAGCCUCCGAAACUCCAGGAGCCCCGAAGCGGU
ensembl:lncRNA